UACGUAGGUGGCGAGCGUUGUCCGGAAUUACUGGGCGUAAAGGGCGUGUAGGCGGCCUUUUAAGUCAGAUGUGAAAUCUCAGGGCUUAACCCUGAAACUGCAUUUGAAACUGGAGGGCUUGAGGAUCGGAGAGGGCAGUGGAAUUCCCAGUGUAGCGGUGAAAUGCGUAGAUAUUGGGAGGAACACCAGUGGCGAAGGCGACUGCCUGGACGACACCUGACGCUGAGGCGCGAAAGCUAGGGGAGCAAACGGGAUUAGAUACCCCGGUAGUCCUAGCCGUAAACGAUGGGUACUAGGUGUGGGAGGUAUCGACCCCUUCCGUGCCGCAGUUAACACAAUAAGUACCCCGCCUGGGGAGUACGGCCGCAAGGUUGAA
rnacentral:rRNA from 1 species